CUCGAAGUUGGCUGAAGCGCCGAGCGUACACGGCUGUUCGCCUGUGUGUGUAUCCUCUCCACUUGCUGCUGCAAGCGUCUCAAAACUGGCAUCUCUGAUCAGAGGCAACAAGCUUACACAAAAUCGCUGAGCAAGCAGUCAAACUGCCAGCUUCAAAGUGGAAACAUUCAGCAUAUGUUUUAAUCAGAUGUGGUUAUUUUGUACUAAAAUUUUCUGAAAUUUUUCGAUUCUUUUUGUGACUGUGACUUGCCUUACAGUAGUUUGCCUUACAAGGGAACCUCACGAACUCGAAAAUUCUGAUUUUGAUGAAACUUUGCACACAUGUAAAAGGGAUCAAUAGAUAAAUAUUGACAAUUUCCGUUGCUGCUAAAAAACGGAGUGAAAUCACCUCUCAUAGGUAGAGCGACUUCUUACUUUUCUCAAUUAAUCUCGAAAAUUAUUGGAGAUAUUGAAAAAUGUUUAGACAAAAAAAUUUCAUUAAAAAAAUCCUCUAUUUAAAAAAGUAAUAACAGAAACCGCUCGUUUUGUGAUAACAACCAAUAUAAAUAGUAAAAGGUCUUAAUCGAGCAAGAAAAACACAAGGUUUAUAUAAUAAUAUGUAUUUUCAUUUAAUGAUAUAAUAAUAUGUAUUUUUAUUUAAUGACACAUAGAAUGGUGCUAAACGUUUCUUGCUCUAACUUGAGCUCUCAUCAGUAGCGUUAUAAAUUGAUUAAAAAGAAACUUUCUUAUUGAUUAAAAAGAAUAAUCGCAAUAGUAAGACGCAGUAUGAACACGCAUGUGUGGUGAUGGAAUAUUUUUCUUCAAUCUACGUCGGUUUUAAUAUUAUUUUGGAAUGAUCCUACCUUCAAACAUCGUCUUCUGUUUGUGAUCUGUUUUCUCUAAUUAGUCAUUGUAAGGCAGUAUCAGUGGUUGAAAUAAAAGAUAAAACUGACAAAUCACUAUGAAUUAAAAAUUAAAAAAAAAUAAAGAAAUAUAAAGUAAGUAAUAAAGAUACAGUGUACGCAGUGAGUUAUAGUCGAAACGCUUACUCGGAAAACAGUUUUAGAAUUUACAGUCAAAUGUUGUGAACAGUACGAAAGGCAGUAUAUUUAUAGGUGAUUUCCCUCUAUAAAGAUUGCCAGUAGA